AUAAAAACAAAAACACUCGCUCUCAUCUCUCAUCUCUCAUCUCUCAUCUCUCUCUCACUCUGUCUGCCUCUUCUCAAUUGUCGCCCACAUCGCUCUCUCUCCUCUCUUUUGUUCUUUCUGGGCAAUUCUCAGGAUUGGUCCAUCUUCCGAUGAUGGGUGGGUUUCGAUCAUUUCCGUCGUUCAAAGAUUCAUUCUUUCUUUUCACUGGUUGUUAUCUCAGUACUUAAUCUAUUCUUUUAGCUUUGUUUUAUCUCAAUUUCAUAUUGUUCCCUUGUCUAUAUGCAUUUGUUGAUGUGUAUAUUGCUCAAUUUCACAGCUUUUGCAUGUCCUGUGUGAUUUUGGACUCUGAUUUUCAUAUGGUUUUUGGGUGUGCACAUAAGUUUCAAUUGAUUUGUUAUAUGCUUUACAGAAUUAGAUGUUCUUAUCUAGCAUUUUUUUGGUAGUGUGGCUCUACUGGUUUUGUUGUAGAUCUUAUAUGUCAUAUCUAGUUUUUUUUUCUUUUCUACUUUUGUAACAAUAUAAGUAAUUUAACACCAAUUUUGAUAUCCUUAUAGCUCAAAAAUUGGGCACUUAAUUUUCUAAUAAGAAACAUGGCUGUUCUUAUCUAGCUCUAUUCUUUUGGCAGUGGAAAACUAGUUCACAAGGUCCAAUGACUAGCUAGGCAUAAAUUGACGUAAGAUUUUUUUGAUAGAUAAGCAUUAUUGUACCUCACUAAUUCGAUGAUAUUAAUUCCAGCAUACGUUUGAUUUUUAUUAAUUUGUGCACUUAGUUUAUGUGUUAUAGAAAUAUUUCGUCUGACAGUUUGAACUUUGUACUUUCAGUAUGCUAGGAAUCCAAUCAGAUGAUGAACCACAGUUUACUUAGGUAAAUAUUUGUCUUUUAUAUAUGUUAACCAGGCUAAUCAUUUGUUUUUUGCACAAUAAGAUGGCCAAAGGGUAAGUUGGAGUUCUCUAAGGACUGGAAAGCCAAAUCUGAUUGCCACCUUGGAGAGAAUUAAGCGCAAUUAUAAUGAGUGGUUGGAAACUAUCAACUGUAAUGAAGCUCAAAUUGAUGAUCGAACUGGGAAUGAGCCACCCUCUCAUGCCAGUCAGCAUAAUUGGCAACCCCCUCCCCACCCAUUUGUGAAAAUCAAUGUCGAUGGUGCCUGGGAUGAAACCAACCAUACAAGUGGGGUGGGAGUAAUCAUUAGAAAUCAUAGAGGUUUCUCUAUUGCAGGUGCAAGUCUACAUGGGAACCACAACUCUUCCAUAGAAGUGGAAGCGGAUGCAGUGGUAAAAGGUCUUCAGUUUGCAGCCCAUUUGAAGCUUAAAAAUAUCAUUAUGGAAGGUGACUGUCUUGAGAUCAUCAGGGCCUUGGAGAAUCAAGCCAACCAUCACAGUUGGAAGAUCUCUCCCAUAGGGUUUACCUUCGUUCACUGGAAUCAGAUGGAGCUGGAUCCCCAGAGAAGCUAACCGUGUUGCGGAUGCAGCGGCUAAGCUUGCUAAAAUGAGGUUGUGCUCACAGGAUUGGGCUAAUAGGCCCCCAACCUUCCUCCUGUCUAUUUUGAGAAGUGAUGGUCUUCCUGGCCCUCCCUAACUAUCCAUCAGUUUGCUACAGUUUGUUUCUGUUUUGUUAGUAGGUUCUAGUUGUAGGUUCCAUCUUAUAUGUUUGUCUCCUUUCUUUCCCUGUAAGUCUUGCCUUUCUGGCCUUUGCAAUGAAUUUUUCUUCAGACAAGAAAAAAAAGGGGGUAAGUUGGAGUUCAUAGAUGUACAAGUACAACUUUGCUUAACUUAGCUGAGUCAGAUGCAUUUUGUUGCCGACUUGCCUUUUUAUGAUGACUCGUUUAGUGUUAUUGUGUGCUUCAACUUAGACUAAUUAUACUCGAGUUACUGAAGUUGGAAACUUUAUAAUUAAAGUCUGUGCUUGUGAAUUCCAUUUGUUUCUACAAUUACUUCAUAUCAUGUGGCAUAUGAUCCAUUUCCUGCCUUACAGGUUUGACUAGGAGUUUAACAAUGAAGUUGCAACUCAAGUAAUCUAGCUAUUUGCAAGAUUUGGAAUUAACCUAGUGGAAAAGUUUGAAGUUGAAGGUGGUGUUAUAUUCAUGGCAGCUCCAGUCGAUCUGUUGCAACUGGAUUUCAGAAUUUUCAAAAGUUGAAGUUGUCACCGGAGCUUAACCAGAAGUUGAAGUCGUCACCGGAUCUUAACCAGAAGUUGAAGUCAUUUAGUAGAAGUUGGUUUAUAGAGGUAGAGAAGUUGAAGUUAUUUAGUAGAAGUUGGUUUAUAGAGGUAGAAAUGCUCUAGUCAUGAUAACGAGGCCAUCAUAUAUUCCUUGGUGAAAUAUUUCUUUACUUGUUCCAGUGUGUAAGUCUUUGGAUUGCUGGUUUGAUGAACUUUGUUGGAGUUAUUUUGCUAUGUAUUGCUGUUUGGUAUGCAUUCCUUUGUGGCAGUUGAUGGAAAUAUCAAAUAUGUAGUUUGCAGCUAUGAAAAAAAAAUAUAUUGUUCAACAA